rnacentral:lncRNA from 1 species
ACGUAUGUCACAAGGUUAUUCCUUUGCCAGGCUAUUGUUGUGCUUCUUCCUUUGAUCAUGGCAGGAUUUUGGCUCCUUUGUGCAACCCAUCUUCCCCUCUUUUUUGCUUACACUUUGGCCGGCGCUUGGGUUCUAGAAUCAGCCCCUGUUUGUGCUGUCUCCAUAUAACAGAAAGAACCAAGGAGGUGCGCCACUGGAGCCAGCUAUCAGUUAGGUGGUUAGAUUAGUUGAUCAAGUCCACAUGUCCAUCUUGUAUUGCUUUGUACAGUUGAGUUAGUGAGUUGGUUAGUUUGUUGAUAUCAUUUUCUAUUACACACCACCUUGCAAUGUACUGAUUUGAUUUUCUCUUCGAUUCAAUACGAUGGAAUUCAUUUUUCCUGCUUCAUUUUUUAAUAUGGUAUCAGAGCUUUUGUGCUUCUAUUGUCUGCUUCUCUGAAAUUCAAUUGAAUCUUCGAUUGAAUUUCUUUUGGCAUGUAAUGGCAUCGGCAGCAAACAAUUCCUCGUCAUCAAUAAGGAUUCUACCACUGAUGAUGGGUCUAGUCCUUUCUAUAUUCACCAUUAAAACAACCCGAGGCUUGUGCUUGUUU